rnacentral:rRNA from 1 species
GAUGAACGCUAGCGGCAGGCUUAAUACAUGCAAGUCGAGGGACAGCACAGGUAGCAAUACUGGGUGGUAACCGGCAAACGGGUGCGGAACACGUACACAACCUUCCUUUAAGUGGGGGAUAGCCCAGAGAGAUUUGGAUUAAUACCCCGUAAUAUAGUUGAAUGGCAUCAUUUGAUUAUUAUAGCUACGGCGCUUAAUGAUGGGUGUGCGGCUGAUUAGAUAGUUGGCGGGGUAACGGCCCACCAAGUCUACGAUCAGUAGCUGAUGUGAGGGCAUGAUCAGCCACACGGGCACUGAGACACGGGCCCGACUCCUACGGGAGGCAGCAGUAAGGAAUAUUGGUCAAUGGACGCAAGUCUGAACCAGCCAUGCCGCGUGAAGGAUUAAGGUCCUCUGGAUUGUAAACUUCUUUUAUUUGGGACGAAAAAGGGUCUUUCUAGGUCAACUGACGGUACCAGAUGAAUAAGCACCGGCUAACUCCGUGCCAGCCGCCGCGGUAA